rnacentral:rRNA from 1 species
GACGAACGCUGGCGGCGUGCUUAACACAUGCAAGUCGAACGGAAAGGCCCUGCUUUUGUGGGGUGCUCGAGUGGCGAACGGGUGAGUAACACGUGAGUAACCUGCCCUUGACGUUGGGAUAACUUCAGGAAACUGGGGCUAAUACCGGAUAGGAGCUCCUGCUGCAUGGGGGGGGUUGGAACGUUUCGGCGGUUGGGGAUGGACUCGCGGCUUAUCAGCUUGUUGGUGGGGUAGUGGCUUACCAAGGCUUUGACGGGUGGCCGGCCUGGGAGGGUGACCGGCCACAAUGGGACUGCGGUACGGCGCAGACUCCUACGGGGGGCAGCGGUGGGGAAUAUUGCACAAUGGGCGGAAGCCUGAUGCAGCAACGCCGCGUGCGGGAUGACGGCCUUCGGGUUGUAAACCGCUUUCGCCUGUGACGAAGCGUGAGUGACGGUAAUGGGUAAAGAAGCACCGGCUAACUACGUG